rnacentral:rRNA from 1 species
UCCAGCGAACUUGGCAGAGAUGCCUUGGUGCCUUCGGGAACGCUGAGACAGGUGCUGCAUGGCUGUCGUCAGCUCGUGUUGUGAAAUGUUGGGUUAAGUCCCGNAACGAGCGCAACCCUUAUCCUUUGUUGCCAGCGAUUCGGUCGGGAACUCAAAGGAGACUGCCGGUGAUAAACCGGAGGAAGGUGGGGAUGACGUCAAGUCAUCAUGGCCCUUACGAGUAGGGCUACACACGUGCUACAAUGGCGCAUACAAAGAGAAGCGACCUCGCGAGAGCAAGCGGACCUCAUAAAGUGCGUCGUAGUCCGGAUCGGAGUCUGCAACUCGACUCCGUGAAGUCGGAAUCGCUAGUAAUCGUGGAUCAGAAUGCCACGGUGAAUACGUUCCCGGGCCUUGUACACACCGCCCGUCACACCAUGGGAGUGGGUUGCAAAAGAAGUAGGUAGCUUAACCCUCGGGAGGGCGCUUACCACUUUGUGAUUCAUGACUGGGGUGAAGUCGUAACAAGGUAAGCGUAGAUGA